CCUACGGGUGGCAGCAGUGGGGAAUAUUGGACAAUGGGCGAAAGCCUGAUCCAGCCAUGCCGCGUGUGUGAAGAAGGCCUUCGGGUUGUAAAGCACUUUCAGUGGGGAAGAAAGCCUUGGGGCUAAUACCCUCGAGGAAGGACAUCACCCACAGAAGAAGCACCGGCUAACUCCGUGCCAGCAGCCGCGGUAAUACGGAGGGUGCGAGCGUUAAUCGGAAUUACUGGGCGUAAAGCGCGCGUAGGCGGUCUGAUAAGCCGGUUGUGAAAGCCCCGGGCUCAACCUGGGAACGGCAUCCGGAACUGUCAGGCUAGAGUGCAGGAGAGGAAGGUAGAAUUCCCGGUGUAGCGGUGAAAUGCGUAGAGAUCGGGAGGAAUACCAGUGGCGAAGGCGGCCUUCUGGACUGACACUGACGCUGAGGUGCGAAAGCGUGGGUAGCAAACAGGAUUAGAGACCCUAGUAGUC
rnacentral:rRNA from 1 species